AAGUCGUAACAAGGUUUCCGUAGGUGAACCUGCGGAAGGAUCAUUAAAAAAAGAGAAACGUCCCGUUUUUUUUCAUAAGAAUGGGUUCUAUUCCCUUAAACCGUGUCUACAUACCUUUGUUGCUUUGGCAGGCCGCCUUCGGGCGUCGGCUCCGGCUGAUAGUGCCUGCCAGAGGACCCAAACUCUAUGUUUAGUGAUGUCUGAGUACUAUAUAAUAUUUAAAACUUUCAACAACGGAUCCCUUGGUUCUGGCAUCGAUGAAGAACGCAGCGAAAUGCGAUAAGUAAUGUGAAUUGCAGAAUUCAGUGAAUCAUCGAAUCUUUGAACGCACAUUGCGCCCCUUGGUAUUCCGAGGGGCAUGCCUGUUCGAGCGUCAUUAUAACCACUCAAGCCUGGCUUGGUAUUGGGGUUUUCGCGUGUUCGCGGCCCUUAAAAUCAGUGGCGGUGCCGUCUGGCUCUAAGCGUAGUAAUUUCUCUCGCUAUAGGGUUCCGGUGGUUACUUGCCAAAACCCCCCAUUUUUUUCUAGGUUGACCUCGGAUCAGGUAGGGAUACCCGCUGAACUUAA
rnacentral:rRNA from 1 species